AAGCCGUGGUGUGGGCAUUGGUUAGUGUAGCUUCUAAACCGUUCCCAAGCUUCAUUAAAGCUCUCGUUAUUGUGCUGCGUGAAACUUGAGAUCUGAUUCCUGAGCUU
rnacentral:snoRNA from 1 species